CGGGAGGCAGCAGUUAGGAAUCUUCGGCAAUGGGGGAAACCCUGACCGAGCGACACUGCUUGGAGGAUGAAGGUUUUCGGAUCGUAAACUCCUGAACGAGGGACGAAAAAUGACGGUACCUCGCUAAUAGCACCGGCUAACUCCGUGCCAGCAGCCGCGGUAAUACGGAGGGUGCAAGCGUUAUCCGGAAUCACUGGGCGUAAAGGGCGCGUAGGCGGUUUGUUAAGUCCGAUGUUAAAGACCGAGGCUCAACCUCGACACGGCGUUGGAUACUGGCAAGCUGGACGGUUGGAGAGGAAGGUAGAAUUACCAGUGUAGCGGUGGAAUGCGUAGAUACUGGUAGGAAUACCCAUUGCGAAGGCAGCCUUCUGGACAACACGUGACGCUGAGGCGCGAAAGUGUGGGGAGCAAACCGGAUUAGAUACCCGGGUAGUCCACACCCUAAAC
rnacentral:rRNA from 1 species